GAUGGACGCUAGCGGCAGGCUUAAUACAUGCAAGUUGAGGGGCAGCAUGAUAUACGCGAGUAUAUUGAUGGCGACCGGCGGACGGGUGAGUAAUAGGUAGGAGACCUACCUCAUACAGGGGGAUAGCAUAGAGAAAUCUGUGGUAAUACCCCAUGAGGUUAUAUGAAUAGAGGCAUAUAAUCAAAGCAUAAGCGAUUAUGCGGUAUGAGAGGGGCCUACUGACCAUUAGCUAGUUGGUGAGGUAAGGGCUCACCAAGGCGAAGAUGGUUAGGGGUUUUGAGAGAGAGACCCCCCACAUUGGAACUGAGAGACGGUCCAGACUCCUACGGGAGGCAGCAGUAGGGAAUAUUGGGCAAUGGGCGAAAGCCUGACCCAGCCAUGCCGCGUGAAGGAAGACGGCCUUAUGGGUUGUAAACUUCUUUACUACGCGAAUAGAGGUUAGUACGAGAUACUAAUAGGAAGGUAGUGUAGUAAAAAGCACCGGCUAACUCCGUG
rnacentral:rRNA from 1 species